rnacentral:rRNA from 1 species
AUUGAACGCUGGCGGCAUGCCUUACACAUGCGAGUCGAACGGUAACAGGUCUUCGGAUGCUGACGAGUGGCGAACGGGUGAGUAAUACAUCGGAACGUGCCCGAUCGUGGGGGAUAGCGAGGCGAAAGCUUUGCUAAUACCGCAUACGAUCUACGGAUGAAAGCGGGGGAUCUUCGGACCUCGCGCGGACGGAGCGGCCGAUGGCAGAUUAGGUAGUUGGUGGGAUAAAAGCUUACCAAGCCGACGAUCUGUAGCUGGUCUGAGAGGAUGAUCAGCCACACUGGGACUGAGACACGGCCCAGACUCCUACGGGAGGCAGCAGUGGGGAAUUUUGGACAAUGGGCGAAAGCCUGAUCCAGCCAUGCCGCGUGCAGGAUGAAGGCCUUUGGGUUGUAAACUGCUUUUGUACGGAACGAAAAGCCUCUUUCUAAUAAAGAGGGGUCAUGACGGUACCGUAAGAAUAAGCACCGGCUAACUACGUG